rnacentral:rRNA from 1 species
GUGACUGCGUACCUUUUGUAUAAUGGGUCAGCGACUUAUAUUCUGUAGCAAGGUUAACCGAAUAGGGGAGCCGGAGGGAAACCGAGUCUUAACCGGGCGUUAAGUUGCAGGGUAUAGACCCGAAACCCGGUGAUCUAGCCAUGGGCAGGUUGAAGGUUGGGUAACACUAACUGGAGGACCGAACCGACUAAUGUUGAAAAAUUAGCGGAUGACCUGUGGCUGGGGGUGAAAGGCCAAUCAAACCGGGAGAUAGCUGGUUCUCCCCGAAAGCUAUUUAGGUAGCGCCUCGUGAAUUCAUCUCCGGGGGUAGAGCACUGUUUCGGCUAGGGGGCCAUCCCGGCUUACCAACCCGAUGCAAACUGCGAAUACCGGAGAAUGUUAUCACGGGAGACACACGGCGGGUGCUAACGUCCGUCGUGAAGAGGGAAACAACCCAGACCGCCAGCUAAGGUCCCAAAGUCAUGGUUAAGUGGGAAACGAUGUGGGAAGGCCCAGACAGCCAGGAUGUUGGCUUAGAAGCAGCCAUCAUUUAAAGAAAGCGUAAUAGCUCACUGGUCGAGUCGGCCUGCGCGGAAGAUGUAACGGGGCUAAACCAUGCACCGAAGCUGCGGCAGCGACGCUGAUGCGUUGUUGGGUAGGGGAGCGUUCUGUAAGCCUGCGAAGGUGGCCUGUGAGGGUUGCUGGAGGUAUCAGAAGUGCGAAUGCUGACAUAAGUAACGAUAAAGCGGGUGAAAAGCCCGCUCGCCGGAAGACCAAGGGUUCCUGUCCAACGUUAAUCGGGGCAGGGUGAGUCGACCCCUAAGGCGAGGCCGAAAGGCGUAGUCGAUGGGAAACGGGUUAAUAUUCCCGUACUUGGUGUUACUGCGAAGGGGGGACGGAGAAGGCUAUGUUGGCCGGGCGACGGUUGUCCCGGUUUAAGCGUGUAGGUGUGUGUUCCAGGUAAAUCCGGUUCACUUUAACACUGAGGCGUGAUGACGAGGCACUACGGUGCUGAAGCAACAAAUGCCCUGCUUCCAGGAAAAGCCUCUAAGCAUCAGGUAACAUCAAAUCGUACCCCAAACCGACACAGGUGGUCAGGUAGAGAAUACCAAGGCGCUUGAGAGAACUCGGGUGAAGGAACUAGGCAAAAUGGUGCCGUAACUUCGGGAGAAGGCACGCUGACACGUAGGUGAAGUGAUUUACUCAUGGAGCUGAAGUCAGUCGAAGAUACCAGCUGGCUGCAACUGUUUAUUAAAAACACAGCACUGUGCAAACACGAAAGUGGACGUAUACGGUGUGACGCCUGCCCGGUGCCGGAAGGUUAAUUGAUGGGGUCAGCGCAAGCGAAGCUCCUGAUCGAAGCCCCGGUAAACGGCGGCCGUAACUAUAACGGUCCUAAGGUAGCGAAAUUCCUUGUCGGGUAAGUUCCGACCUGCACGAAUGGCGUAAUGAUGGCCAGGCUGUCUCCACCCGAGACUCAGUGAAAUUGAACUCGCUGUGAAGAUGCAGUGUACCCGCGGCAAGACGGAAAGACCCCGUGAACCUUUACUAUAGCUUGACACUGAACAUUGAGCCUUGAUGUGUAGGAUAGGUGGGAGGCUUUGAAGUGUGG